GACGAACGCUGGCGGCGUGCCUAAUACAUGCAAGUAGAAUGCAGUUGCGAACGGGUGAGUAACGCGUAGGUAACUGCCUAAUAGGGGGGGAUAACUAUUGGAAACGAUAGCUAAUACCGCAUACUGUGCGAUGGACCUGCGUUGUAUUGGUUAGUUGGUGAGGUAAAGGCUCACCAAGGCGACGAUACAUAGCCGACCUGAGAGGGUGACCCGCCAAAACGGGAACUAGACCAGGCCCAGAAUCCUACGGGAGGCAGCAGUAGGGAAUCUUUGGACAUGGACGGAAGGCCGACCGAGCAACGGCGCGGGAGUGAAGAAGGUUUUCGGAGUGUAAAGCUCUGUUGUGCGAGAAGCGUUAACUACACAGAAAGGGACGGCUAACUCCGUGCCAGCCGCCGCGGUAAUUC
rnacentral:rRNA from 1 species